rnacentral:rRNA from 1 species
UACGUAGGGUGCAAGCGUUGUCCGGAAUUACUGGGCGUAAAGCGCGCGUAGGCGGCUUUGUAAGUUAGAGGUGAAAGCCCGGGGCUCAACCCCGGAAUUGCCUUUAAGACUGCAUCGCUUGAAUCCGGGAGAGGUGAGUGGAAUUCCGAGUGUAGAGGUGAAAUUCGUAGAUAUUCGGAAGAACACCAGUGGCGAAGGCGGCUCACUGGACCGGCAUUGACGCUGAGGUGCGAAAGCGUGGGGAGCAAACAGG